AAAUCAGGUAGGACUACCCGCUGAACUUAAGCAUAUCAAUAAGCGGAGGC
rnacentral:rRNA from 1 species